AAAGCGUCUGUAGGUGGUUUAGUAAGUCUGCUGUUAAAGAUUAGGGCUUAACCCUAGGAAAGCAGUGGAAACUACUAGACUUGAGUGUGGUAGAGGUAGAGGGAAUUCCUAGUGUAGCGGUGAAAUGCGUAGAUAUUAGGAAGAACACCAAUGGCGAAAGCACUCUACUGGGCCAUAACUGACACUAAGAGACGACAGCUAGGGGAGCAAAUGGGAUUAGAUACCCCUGU
rnacentral:rRNA from 1 species